CUCUCCCCGGGGUCACCAGAGCUCUAGCCCUGUUAUUACCGAGGCGGGGCUGAGCCGCCCAGUGCGCCCCCCGGUUUGGGGCGGGCUCGGCGCUGGGACUCCAGCUCCGUCCCCUCUUUGGGGCUGGCUGGAGCCGCAUUUGUCUGCCCGGGCUGGUCCCUCCUCGCCCGGCAGCAGGGCGAGGGCCUCAGGCUGGGCGCAGGGCCCCGGCCAGCCUGCGGAGCCCAGCCCAGUGGGCGGGCCGGGAGCGGGAGGCAGGGCCAGCGGCAGCUGCUCGGGCCGGGCGCAGGCGCUGCGGCCUGUUCCCCUUCGGGAAGCGGGCUCCGACCCGCGGCGCUCCGUCCAUGAGCUGCGAGGUUGUUGCGCUGUACUUUGCCAGGAGCGCUGAAUUGGCAGGUGUUCGCUCUGAGAUUAUUUCUGUACCGCAACAAUUAACCUCUCUACAGCUGUGGGAAGAAAUUGUUAAAAGGCAUCCAAGACUUGCUGCCAUUCGGGAUCAAGUGGUCUUUGCUGUUCGCCAGGAAUACGUGCUUCUUGGUGAUCAGCUUCUGGUCCUGCAGUCAGGUGACGAGGUUGCUAUUAUCCCACCUAUCAGCGGGGGCUAACUCCAGGCAAAGACGCUUGGGGUCUAGUGAUUUGUGGAUGACUUUCCCCUUCUGCUGGAACUCUGUGAGCGGGUGUAACGUGCAUCCCCUGCAGUAGACAGCUGUGAUGCUGACACUAAGAUCUUUCUGUUUCCUUCCAGUGAAGCCAUGAAUGAAAGUGAAGAUGAGCCCAAAGAUUUCAUCAAACUGAACUG